UACGUAGGGGGCUAGCGUUGUCCGGAAUCAUUGGGCGUAAAGCGCGUGUAGGCGGUCCGGUAAGUCCGCUGUGAAAGUCGGGGGCUCAACCCUCGGAUGCCGGUGGAUACUGUCGGGCUUGAGUACGGAAGAGGCGAGUGGAAUUCCUGGUGUAGCGGUGAAAUGCGCAGAUAUCAGGAGGAACACCAGUGGCGAAGGCGACUUUCUGGCCUGUUCUUGACGCUGAGGCGCGAAAGCUAGGGGAGCAAACGGG
rnacentral:rRNA from 1 species